rnacentral:rRNA from 1 species
UACGGGGGGAGCAAGCGUUGUUCGGAUUUACUGGGCGUAAAGGGCGCGUAGGCGGUCAGCACAAGUCAGUUGUGAAAUCUCCGGGCUUAACUCGGAAAGGUCAACUGAUACUGCGCGGCUAGAGUGCAGAAGGGGCAACUGGAAUUCUCGGUGUAGCGGUGAAAUGCGUAGAUAUCGAGAGGAACACCUGCGGCGAAGGCGGGUUGCUGGGCUGACACUGACGCUGAUGCGCGAAAGCCAGGGAGCGAACGGG